rnacentral:rRNA from 1 species
UGACGUUAACCACAGAAGAAGCACGGCUAACUUCGUGCUAGCAGCCGCGGUAAUACGAGGGGUGCAAGCGUUAAUCGGAAUAACUGGGCGUAAAGCGCACGCAGGCGGUUUGUUAAGCCAGAUGUGAAAGCCCCGAGCUCAACUCGGGAACUGCAUUUGGAACUGGCAAACUAGAGUCUUGUAGAGGGGGGUAGAAUUUCCAGUGUAGCGGUGAAAUGCGUAGAGAUUGGAAGGAAUACCAGUGGCGAAGGCGG